ACUAAAUCAACACAGCAUUUAUUUAAUAGAGGAAUUGCAUUACACGCGAGACAUUUUCACUCCAACACUAAGAAAAUAAGACCAACUACACUUAUUCUUGACAGAGCAGAAAUCCAGUCUCAAGGGAAUUGAAUUUCUCUUGUUUGGAAGCAACAUCAAGACUAUGUUACAAAAGCAGCGAUACAGACCUUCACUUCACUUUGAUUCUUUCAUGUUUGAUUUAUCCUAAUUUUGCCUAGCAUCAUCGC
rnacentral:lncRNA from 1 species